AGACCCGAAACCCGGUGAUCUAGCCAUGGGCAGGUUGAAGGUUGGGUAACACUAACUGGAGGACCGAACCGACUAAUGUUGAAAAAUUAGCGGAUGACCUGUGGCUGGGGGUGAAAGGCCAAUCAAACCGGGAGAUAGCUGGUUCUCCCCGAAAGCUAUUUAGGUAGCGCCUCGUGAAUUCAUCUCCGGGGGUAGAGCACUGUUUCGGCUAGGGGGCCAUCCCGGCUUACCAACCCGAUGCAAACUGCGAAUACCGGAGAAUGUUAUCACGGGAGACACACGGCGGGUGCUAACGUCCGUCGUGAAGAGGGAAACAACCCAGACCGCCAGCUAAGGUCCCAAAGUCAUGGUUAAGUGGGAAACGAUGUGGGAAGGCCCAGACAGCCAGGAUGUUGGCUUAGAAGCAGCCAUCAUUUAAAGAAAGCGUAAUAGCUCACUGGUCGAGUCGGCCUGCGCGGAAGAUGUAACGGGGCUAAACCAUGCACCGAAGCUGCGGCAGCGAACGUAUCACCCAAGACAACUUUACGGAGUUGACGAUUGACGGAGCGAAGCGACGUCAAAGCGUUCAUUAAAGUCGAGUUGGCUUAGGGAUACGUUCGUUGGGUAGGGGAGCGUUCUGUAAGCCUGUGAAGGUGUGUCGUGAGGCAUGCUGGAGGUAUCAGAAGUGCGAAUGCUGACAUAAGUAACGAUAAAGCGGGUGAAAAGCCCGCUCGCCGGAAGACCAAGGGUUCCUGUCCAACGUUAAUCGGGGCAGGGUGAGUCGACCCCUAAGGCGAGGCCGAAAGGCGUAGUCGAUGGGAAACGGGUUAAUAUUCCCGUACUUGGUGUUACUGCGAAGGGGGGACGGAGAAGGCUAUGUUGGCCGGGCGACGGUUGUCCCGGUUUAAGCGUGUAGGUGUGUGUUCCAGGUAAAUCCGGUUCACUUUAACACUGAGGCGUGACGACGAGGCACUACGGUGCUGAAGCAACAAAUGCCCUGCUUCCAGGAAAAGCCUCUAAGCAUCAGGUAACAUCAAAUCGUACCCCAAACCGACACAGGUGGUCAGGUAGAGAAUACCAAGGCGCUUGAGAGAACUCGGGUGAAGGAACUAGGCAAAAUGGUGCCGUAACUUCGGGAGAAGGCACGCUGAC
rnacentral:rRNA from 1 species